UAAACAACCUCAAUUCUCUCAUACCGUGUUCAUAGGAGAGGUGCUGCAGCUCUCUGAUAAUUUCUGUGGCCCUCCCCUGGAUCUGCUUUAAUAUGUUUGUGUCUCUCAUUCUUGUAGACCCCUGAACUGUUCACAGUAUUCCAGAAAACACAUAUGUAGUGAAAAUUUUAGUGACUUACAUGAAAAAUGGAUGCCUUUGAGAAGGAAGCAAAUGCUAAAAAAUGCUGUAUCUGUUUGCUUACACAUCCCCCAUGAGGUGUAUGUUGUCUACAAACACAGUUGCAACCGAUAUCAGAGGAAGUUCAUUUACUUGAAUCAGGGAGAAGACGGCAAUGCAGACAUCCUGGUGGGAGUCUGUUAUACACCACCCAACUAUGAUGAAGAGGCAGACAAAAAUAGUCUAAAAGCAGUUGGGAGAAGUCUCGUGAUCCCUGGCCCUUUUUCUUAUGGGUGAUUUCAACACACCAGAUGUCUGCUGGAAAUACAAUGCAGCAGAGAGAAAACAGUCUAGAAGGCUCUUGGAAUGUGUGGAACGCAUAUAACUGGUGAGUCAGCUAGGAAAUAGGCUCCACUAGACCUGUUUGUGAACAGAGAAGGACUGGUGGAUGAUGUGGUGCUUGGAGGUUUUCUUGAUCAUGACAAUAGAGUGUUCCAUCUGCAGAGGAGUAAGGAGGUGGGGUCAGCAAAACUGACACCUUGGCCUUCACAAGGGCAGACUUAGCCUGUUCAGGAGGCUGAUUGACAGUGUCCCUUGAGAGGCAGUUCUGAAGGGCAAAAGAGUCCAGGAAGGCUUGGCAUUCUUCAAGGAAAUAUUAAAUACAUGGGAACAGGUCAUCCCUAUCUGCCAAUAGAUGAACUGGCAGAGAAGAUCAGACUGUCUGAACAGAGAGCUUUGACUGGAACUCAGUCAGGAAAAAGAGAAUUUAUGACCUUUGUAGGAAGUAGAAGGAAACUCAAGAAGACUACAAGGAUGUGUGAGACUAUGCAGGCAGUAAAUUUGAAAGAUCAAAGCCCACAUGGAUUCUGGGCUGACUAUUGGCAUAGAAAACAAUAAAUGUAUUUCCAUAAAUACAUCAGCAAAAAAAGGAGGGCCAAGAAAAAACUCUAUCCUUAGUUGGAUUCUGGGGAAACAUAGUCACAAAACCUUGGGGCCAGGUUUGUUUACUAUCUUUAUCAACAUAUGAGCCAGGGACAUUGUAUGAGGUUCAGGAAGGUGAUGUGCCCGGUUCCUGCACUUCAGUCCCAACAGCUCCAUGCAGUGCUAUGGGCUUGGGGAAGAGUGACUGGAAUUCUUCCCAGAAAGAGUGUGGACAGCAGGCCUAGGGAAAUUAUUGCCCCCCUGUACUUGGUGCAGUGAGGCUGCAUCUUGAAUACUGCGUUCAGUUUUGGGUCACUCACUGCAAGAAAGAUAUCGAGGUGCUGGAGCAAGUCCAGAGAAGGACAACAAAUUUGGCACAGGGCCUGGAGCACAAACCUUAUGACAAUAGCUGAUGGAACUUGAGUUAUUUAGCCUGGAGAAAAGGAGGGUCAGCGCGGACUUCAUCAGUCUCUACAACAACCUGGAAGGAGCUUUUACUCAGACCUUGGUGAUUGUGACUAGACAUGGUGAAAACUCAGCUGAAGCUGUAAUGAGUCCAAUACUAAUGGACCUGGGUUUGACUCAGAGAAAGCAGAACUACUGGACGCUGUAGUUUCUGAAGCUCUGUUUCUUUGAUGUAUACCCUUUUUUCAAAUCAAGCUUUACAUUUGAUACCCUCCAGUGUAAAGCUGAAGGCCUCUUUAUUUGUAUGUUCUUCAUGAUAGGAUUGUGUUUUUCCAAUCUUGCUUGGUUCUACCACUGGCCCCCAGCCCCUCCUUA